GGAGUAUGGACCGUCUCUCAGUUCCAUUGUGACCGUUCAUCCUCUCAGACCGGUUACCGAUCGUCGCCUUGGUAAGCCUUUACCUCACCAACAAGCUAAUCGGACGCAGGCUCCUCGCAAAGCGAUAAAUCUUUAAUAACUCCUUCAUGCGAAAAAAUCAUAACAUUCGGUAUUAGCAGUCCUUUCGAACUGUUGUCCCCAUCUUUGCGGCAGAUUACCUACGCGUUACUCACCCGUUUGCCACUAAACCCAAAAGGUUCCGUUCGACUUGCAUGUGUUAAGCACGCCGCCAGCGUUCGUCCUGAGCCAUGAUCAAACUACU
rnacentral:rRNA from 1 species